rnacentral:rRNA from 1 species
AGAGUUUGAUCAUGGCUCAGAACGAACGCUGGCGGCAUGCCUAACACAUGCAAGUCGAACGCUCACUUGGGUUUCGGCCCUUGUGGGAGUGGCGCACGGGUGAGUAGCGCGUGGGAACCUGCCCUGUUGUGGGGGAUAACCGAGGGAAACUUCGGCUAAUACCGCAUAAGCCGGCUGUCUUGCGAGAGAUGGCCGGGAAAGAUUUAUCGCGACAGGAGGGGCCCGCGUCCGAUUAGCUGGUUGGUGGGGUAACGGCCUACCAAGGCUGCGAUCGGUAGCUGGUCUGAGAGGAUGAUCAGCCACACUGGGACUGAGACACGGCCCAGACUCCUACGGGAGGCAGCAGUGGGGAAUAUUGGACAAUGGGCGCAAGCCUGAUCCAGCAAUGCCGCGUGAGUGAUGAAGGCCUUAGGGUUGUAAAGCUCUUUCGCCCGCGACGAUGAUGACGGUAGCGGGAGAAGAAGCCCCGGCUAACUUCGUGCCAGCAGCCGCGGUAAUACGAAGGGGGCGAGCGUUGUUCGGAAUCACUGGGCGUAAAGGGCGCGUAGGCGGCCCUUCUUGUCGCGUGUGAAAGCCCCGGGCUCAACCUGGGAACGGCGCGCGAGACGGGAGGGCUGGAGUUCGGGAGAGGAGCGUGGAAUUCCCAGUGUAGAGGUGAAAUUCGUAGAUAUUGGGAAGAACACCGGUGGCGAAGCGGCGCUCUGGACCGAGACUGAGCUGAGGGCGAAAGCGUGGGGAGCAAACAGGAUUAGAUACCCNNGUAGUCC